ACUGUGUUAGCAAAUUUAUGCGGCUGAGUUAGAGUCAGCAGAUACGCCGUUUGGUGUACAUAGUG
rnacentral:tRNA from 1 species